ensembl:lncRNA
UGGAAACCCACAGCAGCGGGUCAGACCCGAGGAAAGAAACUGCAAUUGUGGAGAGCACCAGAUGCAGAACAGAAGUCUCUGCUGGUUUGCUUGUUGCAAAAGGCCCCCGCUGACUUUACCUUUGGGUCUGUUCUACCAUCUCUCAUUGUUUCACAAUUAGUGCGGCCCGAAGCCAGAGGGAGCCCUUCUGCUGGGAGGGAAACUGAUGCAGGCUGCGUAUCGGCAGCGUAGGGGAACGAACCGGAUGAGAGGAGAAUAUUUAUUUAUUAUGGGAAUGUCUGAAGUUAUCCUUUCUGCUGGCUUUUGGCUCAAGGAGGAGCACCCCGCGUGCCACCCAGAGUCAAAGGGUAAGUGCAGUGAAAAAUAACAAUCAAAGAAAAAAAAACCAGCAAGGAAAAAGAAAAAAAAAAGAAAGGAAAAGGAAAGAGGUAGCGUUGCAAGUAAAGCUGGG